UACGGAGGGCGCAAGCGUUGCUCGGAAUCAUUGGGCGUAAAGCGCACGUAGGCGGCCCAGCAAGUCGGGUGUGAAAGCCCUCGGCUUAACCGAGGAAGUGCAUUCGAAACUACUGAGCUUGAAUACUGGAGAGGAUCGCGGAAUUCCCGGUGUAGAGGUGAAAUUCGUAGAUAUCGGGAGGAACACCAGUGGCGAAGGCGGCGAUCUGGACAGAUAUUGACGCUGAGGUGCGAAAGCGUGGGGAGCAAACAGG
rnacentral:rRNA from 1 species